rnacentral:rRNA from 1 species
UACGAAGGGGGCUAGCGUUGCUCGGAAUGACUGGGCGUAAAGGGCGCGUAGGCGGUUCAUACAGUCAGAUGUGAAAUUCCUGGGCUCAACCUGGGGGCUGCAUUUGAUACGUGUGGACUGGAGUGGGGAAGAGGGUCGUGGAAUUCCCAGUGUAGAGGUGAAAUUCGUAGAUAUUGGGAAGAACACCGGUGGCGAAGGCGGCGACCUGGUCCUUGACUGACGCUGAGGCGCGAAAGCGUGGGGAGCAAACAGG